GCGCUUGGGUGUCUGGCUUGUUCGGCUGGCAGUCUUGCUACUGAACAGAGCCGUGUGUAAAUUUUGUAAAUAGACAGAAAUUCUAGUGAUCUGGCGUUUCAACAUUACCGCUAAUUCGUAUUGAAGUAAACAUCACUAAAAAGAACCAGAGGGAGAGAGAGAAGACUACUAUAUGAAACGCAGCUAGCCUAACAGAUCACCUCUAGAUCCUAACCACAAGACUGCCAUCUCAUACAUAAAAUCAAACCAAAGAACAAACGAAGACCCCAAAAACAACAAGGCAAGUGGCAAUAUCCCCCACAAGAACAACAGGAAACAUAAGACCAGGUUGAUGCGUCCACAUCAGCACAAUUCUUCCCACGAAUUCCACCAAAAAGAAGACCAAGACGGAUCAACGGGAGGAACUACUACUAACUUUGUCUUGCAGCCUUCUCUGCGACACAAAUGAUGAAUAUGCGAAAAUAGCAAGUGCUUGGGCAGUCGAGUUGCGGAACAUUAGUCAUACCCAAAUGCUAUUUGCUAAGAAAGCUAUAAAUUAUAUUUUUUUUCGAGGGUCAAAUGGGAACAUUACAUCGCCACUCAGUUGUAAUAAAUGCACCAGUGAGAACUAGUGCCCCAGUAAGUAAUGUAUCUUCAAAUGAAUCAGAUACCCAGUACAGCUUCUGUGACUUAGAUUCAGGGAAUGUGAUGACAGAUAAUUCUGCAACAGGAUCAUCACUUGCCUGGUAUUUUUCUUCUUUCACUUAGACAUUAAAGUCAACUUGUGUGUUAAAGGAAUUAUAGUAAUUAUGUACUACAGAUACACAGGAAAGAUUUUCUCUCAUAACAAAAAUUAAUAUGGUCAUUGAUAGGAAGAGAUUUUCUACACUACAUAGGCUAUAUUUUAUGGUAUACUAUCACGAUGAAGCAUUAUUUGUGCUAUUGAAAACAUGCUUUCAUAGUUAAUUACUUGUAACAUGAGGACAUACGAGUAUUGUACAUUUUUCGUUAUUAUUAGUAAAGCCAAACUAUUACACUAACAUGUUCCACUUUCUUGGUGCAGUUUAUGUUUCCCUGUGUUAUUAAAAGGACUUGUCAUUUAUUUUCCAAAUAUAAAUAUUGAAACUGU